UUGAAAGGGAAACGAUUGAAGGCAGUCGGACUGACGGGAAAUCAACUUCUCGAGUGCUUGUCGUGAAUGACGUUGAGCUUCACGGCCUUCGUUGCUUGCGUUAUGGUGCUUUUGAGGUGUACUUUUCCGUAUGGUAAGUCAACAUCGAUUUUGAUCGUCAUAAAAUGAUCGGAGGAAUGUGGCUCUGAUCUUGUAUCGGAGUGUUAUAGCCUUUGGUAGAUGUGACGAUUGGGAUCGAGGAUUGCAACGAAUACCCUUCUGGGCUAUCCGUCUGACCUCUGAAAGUCGCUCGGGUGUCGAAAGCGUGCUUAUGACAUUUUAGUUGGCGGUCAAUAGGUUAGAACGUGAUUACAUUCGUUAAGGAUGUUGACGUA
rnacentral:rRNA from 1 species